rfam:Rattus norvegicus chromosome X, whole genome shotgun sequence.
GGAUGUGAAAUAGGUCUUGCUACCAUAUCUGUCACCUCACUGCUAGCCAGAGUUGAUUAUUGGUUCACUGAUCUGGCUGGCUAGGGCAAUGUCUCCUUCCUCUCUCACUGCUCCUUAGCAUCCCUCCGGAAAGUGCUGCCUUUGUUAAAGAGAACAGUCUUUGUUUACAGGCAUAUGAGCAACUGCAUUCCCCUGCCAAAACCUUCUGCUAAAAGGAGAAGAAGAGAUCCAGGAGGGGAGCAAAAGAAAGGAAUAAGAGAUUGAUGUAAGCAGAGACUUUGAACACAGAGCAAACAAAGACUCAAAUGUUCUGAUUCUU